rnacentral:rRNA from 2 species
UUUAUGGAGAGUUUGAUCCUGGCUCAGGAUGAACGCUGGCGGCGUGCCUAAUACAUGCAAGUCGAGCGAACGGACGAGAAGCUUGCUUCUCUGAUGUUAGCGGCGGACGGGUGAGUAACACGUGGAUAACCUACCUAUAAGACUGGGAUAACUUCGGGAAACCGGAGCUAAUACCGGAUAAUAUUUUGAACCGCAUGGUUCAAAAGUGAAAGACGGUCUUGCUGUCACUUAUAGAUGGAUCCGCGCUGCAUUAGCUAGUUGGUAAGGUAACGGCUUACCAAGGCAACGAUGCAUAGCCGACCUGAGAGGGUGAUCGGCCACACUGGAACUGAGACACGGUCCAGACUCCUACGGGAGGCAGCAGUAGGGAAUCUUCCGCAAUGGGCGAAAGCCUGACGGAGCAACGCCGCGUGAGUGAUGAAGGUCUUCGGAUCGUAAAACUCUGUUAUUAGGGAAGAACAUAUGUGUAAGUAACUGUGCACAUCUUGACGGUACCUAAUCAGAAAGCCACGGCUAACUACGUGCCAGCAGCCGCGGUAAUACGUAGGUGGCAAGCGUUAUCCGGAAUUAUUGGGCGUAAAGCGCGCGUAGGCGGUUUUUUAAGUCUGAUGUGAAAGCCCACGGCUCAACCGUGGAGGGUCAUUGGAAACUGGAAAACUUGAGUGCAGAAGAGGAAAGUGGAAUUCCAUGUGUAGCGGUGAAAUGCGCAGAGAUAUGGAGGAACACCAGUGGCGAAGGCGACUUUCUGGUCUGUAACUGACGCUGAUGUGCGAAAGCGUGGGGAUCAAACAGGAUUAGAUACCCUGGUAGUCCACGCCGUAAACGAUGAGUGCUAAGUGUUAGGGGGUUUCCGCCCCUUAGUGCUGCAGCUAACGCAUUAAGCACUCCGCCUGGGGAGUACGACCGCAAGGUUGAAACUCAAAGGAAUUGACGGGGACCCGCACAAGCGGUGGAGCAUGUGGUUUAAUUCGAAGCAACGCGAAGAACCUUACCAAAUCUUGACAUCCU